UCUACUCAAGAUCCCGAACGGUCAUUAACUGAAUACAUCCAUCGCUUAGAGGUUAUCCAGCAGAGAUUAGGAGGUGCACAAACAGGAAACUCUCCAGGACCACCUCACCAGAGAAACAUAAAGUGAUCAGAGCGCUUCUCAGAUCUGGGACCGAAAACCCCAGGAUGCUGCUUCCUUCUGAAGUGGAUGUUUUUGUAUUCUUGUGUUUCCGAGCAGUACGAAAUCCAACACUUAUGUGCAGUUGAAUAAAGGGGUUUUAGUGUCUAUGCAAUGUUUUUGCAUCAGAUUUUUAUGUAAUCGGUUUAUUAAAUUUUAGUACAUUUAUACUUUUAUAGGAAGUCGCUAUUCACUCACAACAAUGUUUUACAUACUUAUGGGGAAUAACUGUUAACCAUAAUUUAAGUGUGCCUGCAGGAUUGUAUUGGAAGCCACAAAGUGUCUUUUUUUAAUGUUUAUUUUUCUAAAGUGUAUAGCCGGAUUCCUUGUAAAAAGUUAUUAAAAUGACAUUUUAUUAG